ensembl:lncRNA
CAGAUCUGAAGCACUCAGUGUGACAGAUCCUCCUGUAGCAAGUCAAAGGGCUCAGCCAUAGCUGGCUUGGACUGCCGCCUCGCUAGGGCUGUCGGUCACCCUUACACGGCUCUUCUUACGAGGCAGGGGAAGCAAAGCAUUUGUGUUUUUCUCCUGAAGCAGAAAAUGAAUGGAAAAGCAGCUUCCCUCAGCUAGCCAUGGCUUGACGAAAGCCCCUCCUGGAGCUAUCCUCUGUCUGGUGUUUGAAGCAGAGGACAUAGUCAGAUCUCCUGGAUUCUAGUCCAGUCUCUGGCUUUUGACUUGCUGGGACUUGAGCAAGCUGUUCCAACCUCUCUACCUCCAUUUUCCCAGCUGUAAAAUGGGGAUAACAUUCCCAUCUCACCCAGGGAGUGGAAAGUAGAUUCAUGAGGCCUCCCCAAGCUCCUGCCUGGUGAUCUCAUUGCUGGCCUCUCCCAGUCAUUCCCCUUCCUCGCAGGCUGCUGGAGAACCAGCUGCAGGAGCAGCAGGAGCACCACGAGCAGGAGUUGGAAGGACUCCGCAUGGACGUUCGCUCCCUGAAGCAGCUGAACAAGCAGCAGCAGAGCCUCAUCCAGGAGCUGCAGCGGCGCUGGGAGGAAGAGGGGCUCCAGCACCAGAUAGUCCAGCUGAAGAGAGAGAACCUGGAUCUGUCGGAGCAGCUGGAGAAGAAGGAGGGCGGCAUGCUCAGGCUCCGGAAGCAGCUGAAAAGCUCCAUGAAGCAAAUCCAGGAUCUGACAGGCACACACCUCCUCUGAACGAACCAGUGGGGUGGGGGGCACCCCUUUUGGACCUGCCACAAGGGUUCUGCCUAAAUGAGGCCUGCUGUGCUGCCAGUGUGUCCGAGGCGACCAGCUGUGUGCAGGGAGCUCUGCCUUAGGAGCACAGUUCCCCAUCCAUCCUUCCAGGCAGUGGGCCUCUGCCGUGGGGUGUCACUACCCAUCUGCUUUGCAGCCAGGGAACAGAAAUAGCUGUCUUGCUAACAGCUUACCUAAUGCAGCCGUUUUUCUUAGCCUCUAUUCUGGGCUUGCCUGAUGUCUCUCUUCUAAGAGGAAAGCUCCCACGCAGCCGGCUCUCCCUCUCCAUGCUUUAGGAGGGAGCUGUGCCCCAUGGAACCGCGUGUUGCGCCUAUCUGACCCUCUGCCUGACUGCAGGCCCCAUGGGAGUGUUAGGAAAGCCUGGGGAAUUGCAGCAUGGGUGACUGUUCUGAUUCAGUGGCACCCUGGCUACUGGGGGUGGGAGGUGCGGGGUUUCAGAACAGCAAGCCCCCCAUUAGAUCUGUCCCUUUGCAGCACUUGUUACCCCAGGGGCUGAAAGAGCAGGGUGUUUCAGAGAGCUGGGUGUGCUCUUGGCUGUGGUUUUACAGGGAGGGGAGAUGCUGGCCGGGUUUGUAGAAACCUGACUAAAGCUGGUGUGGGCGCCCCAGGAUGUAGGACAGCGAGAAUUGAUUUGCAGACUAGCCUUUCACUUGCUUGCCUCUUACUUAGCCAGCAGCAGCUUUGCAGGACUGCCUGGGGUGUCCUGCAGCUGCUUUCCUUCAUGGGGGUCUGGUUCAGUCUGUCUUACUCUUCCUAUCCUCUUGGGGUCCACUUCCACCCCUCCAGCUGGCCUGAGCAACAUCUAACUGUGUCCCUCUGUCUGGGAGCCAGCUUUCCUGGCAGGUGUUCUGCAGGAAGCGGGUGAGAAGGUUUGGAGCCAGGUUACACGGCCCUGGGCCCAAGUGGAUGCUUUGACUCUAGUGUUCUUCCUCCUUCCCCU